UGGGAGGCAGCAGUGGGGAAUAUUGGGCAAUGGGCGAAAGCCUGACCCAGCAACGCCGCGUGAAGGAAGAAGGCUUUCGGGUUGUAAACUUCUUUGACGAGGGACGAAAAAAAUGACGGUACCUCGAAAACAAGCCACGGCUAACUACGUGCCAGCAGCCGCGGUAAUACGUAGGUGGCAAGCGUUGUCCGGAUUUACUGGGUGUAAAGGGCGCGUAGGCGGGACUGCAAGUCAGAUGUGAAAUGUGGGGGCUUAACCCUCAAGCUGCAUUUGAAACUGUGGUUCUUGAGUAUCGGAGAGGCAGGCGGAAUUCCUAGUGUAGCGGUGAAAUGCGUAGAUAUUAGGAGGAACACCAGUGGCGAAGGCGGCCUGCUGGACGACAACUGACGCUGAGGCGCGAAAGCGCGGGGAGCAAACAGGAUUAGAUAUAGUCC
rnacentral:rRNA from 1 species